rnacentral:rRNA from 1 species
CCUACGGGAGGCUGCAGUGGGGAAUAUUGGGCAAUGGGCGCAAGCCUGACCCAGCAACGCCGCGUGACGGAAGAAGGCUUUCGGGUUGUAAACUUCUUUUCUCAGGGACGCAGCAAGUGACGGUACCUGUGGCAUACGCCACGGCUAACCACGUCCCAGCAGCCGCGGUAAUACGUGGGUGGCAAGCGUGAUCCGGAUUUACUGGGUGGAAAGGGCGUGUAGGCGGGAAAGCAAGUCAGAUGUGAAAACCAUGGGCUCAACCUGUGGCCUGCAUUUGAAACUGUGUUUCGUGAGUACAGGAGAGGCAGACGGAAUUCCUAGUGUAGCGGUGAAAGGCGGAGAGAUUAGGAGGAACACCAGUGGCGAAGGCGGUCUGCUGGACAGCAACUGACGCUGAGGCGCGAAAGCGUGGGGAGCAAACAGGAUUAGAUACCCUUGUAGUC